rnacentral:lncRNA from 1 species
CGAGUAGCUGGGACCACAGGCGCCCGCCACCAAGCCUGGCUAAUUUUUUUGUAUUUUUAAUAGAGACGGGGUUUCACCAUGUUAGCCAGGAUGGUCUUGAUCUCCUGACCUCGUGAUCCGCCCGCAUCGGCCUCCCAAAGUGCUGGGAUUACAGGCGUGAGCCACCGCACCCGGCUGUAUUUUUUUUUUUAGUAGAGACGAGGUUUUUCCAUGUUGAUCAGGCUGGUCUCGAACUGCCCGCCUCAGCCUCCGAAAGUGCUGAGAUUACAGGCGUGAGCCACCACACCCGGCCAACUCCCCUCCAUUUCUACUCACUUUGCCCAGAAGGUUAGAAGAAAAGAAACCCAGGUAACUGCCCUGAGGAAUCUUAGCAUCUUAGAGUACUGUGGCUAUGCUCUUUUCUCCCACUUCAGGGCCUUUGAAGGCAAUUUCCCUGCAGUUUCCUUGUAUCUGGAAUGUUCUUUGCCAAGCUCUAAAACUUCAGGGUUAUUUUUUUUUUUCUCUUUUUUGAGACAGGGUCUCACCUUGUUGCCCAGGCUGGAGUACACUGGCCAACCUUCAGGUUUCCUCAGGGAAGCUUCCCUGGCUGGGUAAAGCAGCCCCCUCCCCUCCCCCACCUCCAGUUAUCCUCCUUCUUGUCCCACUGUUUGUUUCCUUCACAGCACUUUAACACAAUCUAUAAUUAUCUCAUUUAUUUGUUUAUUGUCUGUCUUUUCCUCUAGAAUGCAAGUUCCCAGAGAGAGAGAGUAGGCAUCAUGCCUGUCUUAUUCAGCACCAUAAUGCUAGCACCUGAGACAGUGCCUGCCACUUAGUAGGUGUUAGACGUGUGAUAAAUAAAAAAGUGGACAAAUUAUCUCAUUGAAGCCCCACAAUAACCUUUGGUGAUGGUAAGCACUAUUAUCCCCACCUUACAGAGGAAGAAACUGAGGCUCAGCCACCUACCCAAGGUCAUGCCACUAGAAAUAAGUACAGCCAAAUUUCUAACGUAGGUCUCUCUGACUCCAAGUUUGAUGGAAAGUGGGGACCAUUCUUUUGUUUGUUUUCCGAGAUGGAGUCUUGCUCUGCUGUCCAGGCUAGAGUGCAGUGGCACAAUCUCGGCUCACUGCAACCUCUGCCUCCCGGGUUCAAAUGAUUCUCCUGCCUCAGCCUCCCAAGUAGCUGGGAUUACAGGUGCGCACCACCGUGCCCAGCUAAUUUUGAUAUUUUUAGUAGAGAUGGGGUUUCCCCAUGUUGGCCAGGCUGGUUUCGAACUCCUGACCUCGUGAUCAGCCCACCUCGGCCUCCCAAAGUGCUGGGAUUACAGGUGUGAGCCACCGCGACCAGCCAGGGACCAUUCUUAACCAGCCUAAACUGCACCUGGUUCCUCUUCCUGUCUGCCUGUGUAUCUCCACUCCCAACCCAGGCAUCCCCAGAGAAACCUGGGGCAGGGAAGGGAGGAACACAGAAUCUGGAAGAAUGUAAAUCUGACCUUUUCUUUUACAGGCUUAAAAUCUGUAAAUGGCUCCUCUCCAACCCCUCAAUCCAAGCACUUUAAGUUGACCAGCAGGUCCUUAGUUCUGGCCCCUGCCUUCUUCUCCAACUUCUCCUGCCCUCCUGAGCCACCUCACCUCCUCCUCCACCUCCAGACCCUGGCACAUACUCCUCCUCAGCCUGCAAGGCUGACCCCUUCCUCAGUAGCCUAUCCCUCAUUUGCCCUUUGAAACUCAGCUCUGGCACCACCCCUUCCAGAAAGCCUCUAGACUUUGGAGAGGACAGCGCCUUUAGGUCUCCUGCCAGAAUUUCCGGCUCAAGGCAGGGCCGAACACAAGAUGUGGUCAUUGUUUACCUGUCUGCCUUUCCCACAGAGACUGUGUGUCAUUCUUGGGGUCCAGUACCCUGUGCCGGUCUGGCACAUGGGAGGGGCUCAGGAAAUGUUUGUAGAAUGAGUUAAUCAACCAGUGACAGGAUUCUGGUACCCAGUCGGCCACCACAUCUCCUCCAACUUCCUUAACUCCAGACAUCUUUUCCUGGGCUAGGCCUUAACAGAAGGAACUCCUCACCCUUCACUGUGGGGUCAAGUCAGGGGUGGAGACAAUGCGGGCCCCUCCCCCGCUGAUUCAGCGCCUCUCCUAAUGAGGUGAGGCCUCAGGUUUAGGAAGGGUUGCCACACCCACUGGUAGGGGGAGGGUCUGUGAUUCUGUAACUGGAGGAUAGGUAGGGGGCUUCGGUUGUAGACUGAGUAGGGAGCUGACCUAAGCCGGUAGAUUCAAGUACUGCCCGAGAGAUCUCUGCCUUUCCGCCCCACACCCCAGUCACCCCGCGCCAGGCUCUCGGCGCGUCAGAUCCCGGCCCUGCGUUCUUCAUCUCCUGCCCCGCCACGCCCCCAACUGCAGAUCCAACUCGGGUCUCUCCGAAAGCAGCAAGGAGCCUCGGGGUGGGCUCUAUGCCCCGUGAUGCUCCGCGUCUGGGAACGGAUGAAGGGGUGCCAGCAACCCCCGCCGUCCCCGCUGUCGAUCCGGGUUUACACGAGGCUCAUCCGGGAUUAGUCCCUGCGGUCGGCUAAUCCCAGCGGCUGGACCGACCCCGGGGUCCGGAGCGAGGCCCACACAGUACCGGCCUAGGGAGCUAGGGCGCGGGUCGAGCAAAAGCGCGCGACGCUGGGCGGGUGUGGGGGUGGGGAGGGGCGGAGGAGGGAGCAACGCCCCGGGAGGCGGGGCCAGGAACCGGCUGAUCCGGUCUCUGUUUUCCGACCUCUCCGGAGCGGGUGUUUACCCGGGAGCCGGACGGAGGAGGCCGGGGCCGGUCGAGCCCGGAAGGGGGGAGGGGAGCGCAGUCGGAGACCGAGGCUGAGACCUUUUCGGUUCCUUUCCCCUAAAUCGACUUCCAACCCUCGUUCCUGAGCGUGGGAGAACGCGGCAGACAGACAGAUGUCUCCCGCCCCUUAUCCUAUCCAGUUCCGCAAUUCACACUCGUUGCCAAAGAGUGGGGAGCGGGAAUGGAUACACCCGGGAACGACUGCACGUCCUGCGGGCGCCCGGGGAAGAAGGCAGCGCAGCACAAAACCUCUCCUGCGGUCACCUCCCACCCCAUCCUGCACCUGAGUUCUUGCGGGGAGGGGGUGCCCACAGCAGGUCGGGCCCAGAGGAUCCGGCAGGGGUCACUUUGAGGUGUACGGACUAGGAGUCUAUCCUCAGAACGCGUCAGCUCGACCCCAUCCCCGAUUAAUACCAGUGCGGGUCUCAGUCUCUUGUCCCUCGCGUCCCCCAGCCCUCUCCAAGGCCUCCAGAUUUAGCUCCCACUCUCCACGGGACGCAGGCCCGAGGACCCGGAAGAAGCUGAGUGGGGUCCGGUUUUCACACUUUUAUUGUAAAGCUCGGGAAUAAUUACACGGGUCUUUCAUUGACAGCUCAGCAAACAAACCGGAAACGAACCGAACCGGAGGGGACACAGUCUCCCCUCCCCAUGGGCAGACACACCCGCCCGAAACCCCAUGGGCGGGACACAGUCCCCCCUCCCAGAGAAGUCCCCAGUGGAGACGCCCCUUAAGAGACUUUCUCAUGGCCAACACAAGCCCUCCCAACACCCGGAGACAGCCCCGACCCAGGGAAGAAAUGGCUCCAGAGGCCCUACCCUCGGGAGAGAGAGGUAUCCCAGGGCUCCUAGGAGAAAAGACAACUCAGAGAUGCCCAGCCUCAUCCUAAAGUGCUGCAGGGCAGAGAAACCCCCAUAGGAGAGAUGGGGGUAGGGCCAGAAACAUCCCUUCCCAGACGUGUUUCAGAGAUAGCCCCCUUCCCUGGGAAGAGAGAUGGCCCGAAACUGACUUGCCUUAAGUACUCCCAGGAACCCUGGGAGGAAAACAGGCUCCCCAGAGAGCCUGGGUAAUUGGGGGAGACAUGCUCCCGUGGUCCUCAGCGGGAACACAUGUCCCCCGGAGACUCCCAAGGGGAGAGAUAGGGCCUAGAGAGACCCCAGAGGUGAGGGAUGCCCAGAGAACUUCCCCCCACCCCGGAAUGUGAAACAUGCUUCAAGGACCCUAGGAGAGAAAUAUGUCCCCAUAUACCCUCCCCCUACGGAGAGACAUGCCCUGAAGUAGGGGGAUGGGGACCGACUAGGUCCCCUCUGGGAAGACACAGACUGGGUCAGGCUGGGUUUGAGGGGGGCUCUCCUCUGGCCAAAUGUCGCCUAUUGGUACAUAAAACUGUACGCGACACAGGCAUUGGGGAGGGGCUUCACAGACCUAGGACCCACAGGGAUAGUCCCCAGUGCUGUCGCCAACCCCUGCCCACCUUUGGUUUCAUCUCUCCAGUGCCCAGUUGGUGACAGACUCAGUGCCCUGGCCCCAACCAGGGGGCUGGGGGCUCUGUCUUUGCCUGUGGGAAGGGCUUCUCAGCUCUCCCAGCCAUCUGGGCCACCCUCUUUCUUCUGGCUUCUCCAUUGUGCAAAAUGCUCCUCUGCUCUUCUGCUCAGUGCUCAGGGGUCUCUAAGACCAGGGCAAGGUACCCAGGCCACUAGGGGCUUCCAGUGGGAGUCCACUGACCCCAGGAAUGCCGCCUGUCUGGACCACCUUCUCCACCAAGCAAAUGGGCCUCAUACAAUCUUCUUGCCCGAAUCCUGACCUCCAGGACCCAGGACAAUCCUUGAGGCCACUGUUCCACCAGCUGGGCACCCAAUACUACCAACUCCAAGACUAUUGCACCUGCCCCAUUUGUGCAGGGGAAAGGGGCUGUCUCUUUAACAAGCCCCAAGCCCAUCUCCUGGGCCUCCCCAAGGGAAAGGAGCCUUUGGCCAACCCCUAGACCUGGCUGCUGCCACCCCAUCCCAUUCUACCCCUUCCCCUCUGUAGAAGGGCUUCGUAUGCCAGGGCUACCAGCCUAACAAUGCUCUCCUUCCUAGCACUGUCACCCCAAGCCAAGUUGGGGGUAAGGGGCAGAUAAAUAGGGUGAUUCUUCAGGCCCCUGGCUUUUCCGGGGUGGGGGUGGGGUCUCUGGGGUACAAGAGUCAAGACCCCAGCAGCACAGCUCCCAAAGGCACCAGACGACCCCGCAGCCUGUACCCACCGCUCGCAAUCUUGGACCACCUCCCCAAGCUUAGACUAAGUCAAGCAAGGGCCAUACCCUGAGUCUCCAGCCUCCCAGCCUGGGCCCCUAGGGAGCUGGAGAGGUAUGGGCCAAGGCAGUGGGGGUUUCUGGAAGGAAGAGGGGCUGAGGCUUUGAGAUGGCCACAGUGGGAGACGGGGGCUCUGCAGGACGCCCCUUACACCCUGGCCCCCUGAGGUGAAGAAGAGAACUUCACCUCAUCAUGGCUGACUGGGCUUCUCUGCCCCCCAACCUCCCUACCCCCUCCCCCAUGGGACCCCUGACCCUGACAAAGGGAAGCCCAACUGGAAGAAGGGGGCCUGGAGCCCAGGGUGCCCUGAGGCAGCCCUCCCACCCCCUGAGAUCAAGGCAAUGGUGGUUUUACAGGCUGACGGGUCAGUCAUGGCAGGGGCUGGGGGUUGAGAGGGCAGGGAGGGGGCAGGAUGCAGGCCCCCUAUAUCGGGAGCAGCACCCAGCCACCCCCUGAGCAAACCUUCCUGCUCCCAACUCACCCAACCAGGCCAGAGGCACAGUCAUCCCACCCCUGUCCAGCUGCCCCCCACAGCCUCAGGGCCCCUCUGUGAUGCUCAUCUGGAUGUGGGAGGCCAGCCUGAGCGGGGAUCCCCCCAGGGCACAGCGCAACAGUUCCAAAAAAAUAGAGAUUUGUAUUUUUAAGAAAAAUUAAAUAAAAGCCCAGCUCUGCUGAU